rnacentral:rRNA from 1 species
GAUGAACGCUGGCGGCGUGCCUAACACAUGCAAGUCGAGCGGCAGCGAGGGGUGCUUGCACCCUGUCGGCGAGCGGCGGACGGCUGAGUAACGCGUGGGAACGUGCCCCAAAGUGAGGAAUAACUGCCCGAAAGGGUAGCUAAUACCGCAUAUUAUCUUCGGAUCAAAGGAUUUAUCGGCUUUGGGAGCGGCUCGCGUCGGAUUAGGUAGUUGGUGAGGUAAUGGCUCACCAAGCCGACGAUCCGUAGCUGGUCUGAGAGGAUGACCAGCCAGACUGGAACUGAGACACGGUCCAGACUCCUACGGGAGGCAGCAGUGAGGAAUCUUCCACAAUGGGCGAAAGCCUGAUGGAGCAACGCCGCGUGCAGGACGAAGGCCUUCGGGUUGUAAACUGCUUUUAUAAGUGAGGAAUAUGACGGUAACUUAUGAAUAAGGAUCGGCUAACUACGUG